rnacentral:rRNA from 1 species
UACGUCGGGUGCGAGCGUUAAUCGGAAUUACUGGGCGUAAAGCGUGCGCAGGCGGUGAGUUAAGUCUGCUGUGAACGCCCCGGGCUCAACCUGGGAAUGGCAGUAGAAACUGGCUCGCUGGAGUAUGGCAGAGGGGGGUGGAAUUCCGCGUGUAGCAGUGAAAGGCGUAGAGAUGCGGAGGAACACCGAUGGCGAAGGCAGCCCCCUGGGCCAAUACUGACGCUCAGGCACGAAAGCGUGGGGAGCAAACAGG